rnacentral:rRNA from 1 species
UACGAAGGGGGCUAGCGUUGUCCGGAAUUAUUGGGCGUAAAGAGCUCGUAGGCGGUCUGUCGCGUCUGCUGUGAAAACCUAGGGCUUAACUCUGGGCGUGCAGUGGGUACGGGCAGGCUAGAGUGCGGUAGGGGAGACUGGAAUUCCUGGUGUAGCGGUGGAAUGCGCAGAUAUCAGGAGGAACACCGAUGGCGAAGGCAGAUCUCUGGGCCGUAACUGACGCUGAGGAGCGAAAGCAUGGGGAGCGAACAGG